rnacentral:rRNA from 1 species
GAUGAACGCUGGCGGCGUGCCUAAUACAUGCAAGUCGAGCGAAUGGAUUAAGAGCUUGCUCUUAUGAAGUUAGCGGCGGACGGGUGAGUAACACGUGGGUAACCUGCCCAUAAGACUGGGAUAACUCCGGGAAACCGGGGCUAAUACCGGAUAACAUUUUGAACCGCAUGGUUCGAAAUUGAAAGGCGGCUUCGGCUGUCACUUAUGGAUGGACCCGCGUCGCAUUAGCUAGUUGGUGAGGUAACGGCGCACCAAGGCAACGAUGCGUAGCCGACCUGAGAGGGUGAGCGGCCACACUGGGACUGAGACACGGCCCAGACUCCUACGGGAGGCAGCAGUAGGGAAUCUUCUGCAAUGGACGAAAGUCUGACGAAGCAACGCCGCGUGAGUGAUGAAGGCUUUCGGGUCGUAAAACACUGUUGUUAGGGAAGAACAAGUGCUAGUUGAAUAAGCUGGCACCUUGACGGUACCUAACCAGAAAGCCACGGCUAACUACGUGCCAGCCGCCGCAGUAA